rnacentral:tRNA from 1 species
GGGCCUAUAGCUCAGUCGGUUAGAGCAGCGGACUCAUAAUCCGUUGGUCCACAGUUCGAAUCUGUGUGGGCCCACCA